rnacentral:rRNA from 1 species
AUGGACAAGGGCGACAUGCUCUGUUGCCACAUCCUCAAGGUGUUCACCCAUCUUGGAGUUGAUGUCAUACCGGAAAGGUACAUGCUAAGACGGUGGACACCUACUGCUGUCCCUAGUGCGCCAGGGACCGGGUAUGAGCAACCAGAUGAAAUGCGUCCUCAAUCAAAGAAGCAGAUAAGGGAGAGAAACAUGAUAUACGAUUUUCGGAAACUAGCCAAGUUUGCAAGUGGCUCUGAUGCAGCACAGAAAAUUGUAUACAAGCAUAUGCGCGGAGCACGCACCAAGAUCAGCCACCAGAACAAGUCCAAGAAAAAGAAAAAACCGGCUGCUGCUACUAGGCCAUCAGAUGAUGGCAACCCUCAAGGACCUCCUCCACCUCCAGGCUCUACACAGCAUGCUCCGCCACCUCCUCCCCCCGCCUGGCCCAAUAAGCAGUGCCCUGCGUCGUCCUCCCAAUGGCUCUACAGGCAUCACUCAGGGGGCUCGUCUUCCAGGUGA